UGCGUAGGCGGUUUCGUGUGUCGGAUGUGAAAGCCCAUGGCUCAACUGUGGAAUUGCAUUCGAAACUACGAAACUAGAGUGCAGGAUGGGAGAGCGGAAUUCCUGGUGUAGCGGUGAAAUGCGUUGAUAUCAGGAGGAACACCGGUGGCGAAGGCGGCUCUCUGGAAUGUUACUGACGCUCGGGCACGAAAGCGUGGGGAGCAAACAGGAUUAGAUACCCUGGUAGUCC
rnacentral:rRNA from 1 species